UGGCCCGCUUGGCAGUCUCUCCCGCCCUUGCAGGCCAGCUUCGGGCGCCCCGCCGGGCGGCCCCACGCCUCAGAGGUUGGCGUCUCUCGUCCCAGCACCCUCCGCCGAGUCACAAGCAGGAAGGAUGGAGUUGAAAGCAAAGCCUGGAGGUCUCUUUUGUCAGGAAGAGAAUCCGUUCCAGGAGCCCUGGAAUCUCAUUGGCCAGAAUCAGAUCACAUGCUCACCCCUGGACCAAUCAAAGGAAAGCAAGGGCAGAACUCCGGGCAGAGCUAAACUCAGGGUCUCACACGGCUGCGAUCCAGGUGCUCAGGGCUGUAGUCUCAUCAGAAGCUCCACUGGGAUUCCAAGAUGCUGGGAUGCAAAAAUGCAUGAUGAAGUCCUGACCCUGAGGACAGACCAACUCCCUGAGAGAAGUAUUUGGACAUGUUCUGCAGGCCCCUCAGGUUCCCCCCAGGGGCAGGCAACUCUAGCCCCACCUCCUUCCUUGUUUAUGUCCAGGUAGCGACUCAUAAUUCCCCUCCACUUGCAGGUGAGGACGGAACAUAUAUUAUCCUGCUGCCUUUACAGGAUGCAGUUGCUUGAAUGAUGACAGUUAUCUCUGCUAAUAAAGUUCACUUUUUUAGCAGAGUUAUAAAUAUAUAUGCAGCUCGCAUAUUGGAGGAGUCAUGUGGGAGGAAAUGCUGAGGCCCUUCUAGAACAGAAGCCACUCCCUGGCACCUGCACAUACAUAACUCUCCCAGAUUACCCAGCUCCACAGCCCCCGCCCCCCUGCAAAAAAAAAAAAAAA